rnacentral:lncRNA from 12 species
GGAAUGCAACAGCUUAGGGAGGGAAAGUGACUGCUGAGGUAAGAUGAGGCAUUACGAGCUUUAAACAAAGAACUGGAAAAAAAUUGUAAAAGGUGAACAGAACAGAGGAGUUGUGGAUGCUUUGAACUUGUGGAUGCUUUGAACUUUAAGGAGUUGAAUCUGCAUGAUCUGUGCUGUAGAUCAUCUCCAGUCUCAUGACUCACAGGACAUCUGGCCAGCAGACUGCACUUGCAGCAGAUGCUCUGAGAUGGAGACUGUCCUCCCCACUGAGAUCAGAAGGACUGUGUUGGAUUCAGCUAUAGAUAAAGAGUGAACAGACUUGAUGGAAACUCUUCACUUUUAUCCAGGAUCAAGUUCUCAGUUAAAUGAUUGCCUGUGUCUCGUUUUAACAUCACUCUGCAGAAGUAUAAGAAAACAGCAUUAGCUUAUGUAUGAAAAGGAUGUGGGUGAAAAAGAUGUGUGUGUUUCAGAGCAACGUGUGAAUUUGAUUUAAUUAAUGACAUUUCCAAUCAGACUGUUUACUGACUCCAAUGUAGCAGUUAUUGGAUGCUUUUUUUUUUGUAUGAACCACCCGUGUUUUCUGGUUGAUUAGUCAUUAACUACUGUACCUAGCACCAAAAUAUAACCCCAAAUGCAACUGAUAUGAAAUCAUCUGAUGUAAAAGAAAUAUUAAAACACACAGAUUUUCAAUAACUAUCAGAAAUGCCAUGGAAGCAGCCAGAAUGGCCUUGAUAGUUGUGUACCAUAGUGGGUAGAUACAGGAAUGAAUUAGAAGAAGGAAGAAUAUCAAUGGUAUGAAUUUCUUUGGCUGAUCAGUCACCCACAGUUGCUGGAGUCUUUAAUGCCUCUGUCUUGGCCACCAAGAAGCGUUGGCUGCAUUAGUGGGCACCUCCCAGUAAGCCUUAAAUGCCAUGGACGCCUGCCAUGCCAGGCCUUGGUGCUGAUAAUAGUCUCAUUUAUUAAAGGAGGGCCUUCAAGGAAGCUGGG